CAAAUAUCGAGAGAAAGCUGCUAAUUUCAUACAUGUCGCCUUGCCUAACUCAAAAUUCACGACAAUAUAAUUGAUUCUCUGCGUUUCAAUGAUUUUGGCCCGAUGAAUUAAUUAGGAGACUUAUACAAAUGGCUUCUUGCCCAAAUAAUCAAGAAUGUAGAGACGAAGACUUGACAAAUAAUACCGCUGUUAACAAAACCUCUGACCAUCCAAAUCGCUACAACGUCGUAAAAGAUGACGAAAUAUCCCUGGAAAAUUGUUAUGACAGUCAAUGUUUUCCUGAAUUUACAAAUGUUAAAGGGGUUCCUACAAUGUUGUACUCAAAGCAAUGUUAUUUUCAUGGGAAAAGCAAACGAGACAAGAUUGGACCUGAACCUUAGAUGGAUGAAAUAAACCAUAUUAUUUCUAAUGACUUUAAUACACGUGAGUCGAUUGAAUAAGAAAGAACAUGAACACAGGAUUGAAUUAAAUCUAAAUUUCGUCGAAUUAUAUUUUUAAUAUGCCAAAGUACAUAAAGAAAUGAUGGAAAAUGAAAGAUAUUAAGCAAACUCUUUCAACAAUUACUAAAGAUAUGGAGGAAAUGAUAGCUGGGAUUUUUCAGAUUUUUGAGAAGAUGAAUAUAGAUAAGCAUUUCACUCAAACUGUUGCUUACAAACAGAGCAUUUUUUACAUAGGAGGAUAUUAUGACGAUAAAGGAACAUCAUGUGAUCUUAUAUGUGAAUUGCAGGUUACUGGUAUUAAAUCAUAUAGUUUGAAAGUGUUGUGUCAUAUGCCUGAAUCACGGUUGAGCCAUGGAGCUGAGAUCAUUAAUGAUGAAAUUUUCGUCUUUGGAGGAUAUGGAAAGGAAGACGAAAUUCUCUCUAGCUUGAUAAAGAUUGAUCCAAGAUCUCUUAAAAUUAAAGCAAUGCCUCCAUUUCCUCAACCAUUAGCUGAAAAGGCAGCAGUUCGAUGAAAAGUCAUGUUGUUCUUUUUGGAGGCUACGAUGAUCGAGAAAUACUUAACGAUGUUAUCAUGGAUGGCUGUAAGUGAAGUUGUGGCAAAUUUGUUAAAUCAUCAAUAAAGGGAUCGGAAACAUGUCUUACAGGUUUAAGGCCGAAUUUUCAUACAAUAAUUUCAAUCGGUGCAAUCAUCUUAAUUGAUGCAAUCGUCUGGUGUGCUUCUUGAAGGAAGAUUUACCUGAAGUGAUGAAACAGUCUGCCUUCUUAUAAGGCUGGAGUGGAUGCAGAUCUUAUACUACUUGACGUUAUAUGUUCCUAAAAUUGUGUUUCGCCUGGAACGAUUAAAAAACCUUUCAGGUUGGUCGGGCAACGCUUGCAUUUAGGACAGUGGAUGUUUCAGAAAUGACCUUUCACCAACGAUAUUUAAUUCGAUAUACACACUUGCCUGGUUAAAUACAUUCUUGAUUCAGCACAUGCACGGAAGAAAAUAUAUAUGUUAAUACACGGUAAGGGGAUUAAAGAACGUAAUAAUACACGCUAAAGGGAAGAGAAAAUAUUUCAUUAAUAUGAACUUGCUUCUAUGAAGAAAGUAUAAAUGCUAAAUAGAUUCAAUUUUAAUAAUUUUUCACACGCAGCGCGAAGCGCAGAGUAUUCUUGAUAAGCAUAAUUUGUCAUAACGUGUUGAAUGCUUUGGCAACGAUUUCCCUAGUUUAUAAUGUUCGGCGUAUUAAAUGGCAAAUAUUCGAUUGUUGUUUUGCUACUAAAGGAAAUAUUUUAUUAAAAUAAACUCCCGUCUAUAAAAAAAAAGAAUAGAUGCUGAAUACAUUCAAUAAUUAUUUACUCAACAAAAAGCGCAGAGUAUUCUUGAUGAGUAUAUUUUGUCAUGGCAUUUUAGACGAUUUUGAGAAAUAUUUCCCUAAUUUAUAAUAUUUGGCGAAUAGAAAUAGAAUGGCAAA